rnacentral:rRNA from 1 species
UACGUAGGGGGCAAGCGUUGUCCGGAUUUAUUGGGCGUAAAGAGCGUGUAGGCGGCCAUACAGGUCCGUUGUGAAAACUGGAGGCUUAACCUCCAGACGUCGAUGGAAACCGUAUGGCUAGAGUCCGGAAGAGGAGAGUGGAAUUCCUGGUGUAGCGGUGAAAUGCGCAGAUAUCAGGAAGAACACCCGUGGCGAAGGCGGUACUCUGGGCCGGAACUGACGCUGAGGAGCGAAAGCGUGGGUAGCGAACAGG